AACGAACGCUGGCGGCAUGCCUAACACAUGCAAGUCGAACGGGAUCCGGACUUCGGUUCGGUGAGAGUGGCGGACGGGUGAGUAACGCGUGGGAACCUGCCCAGUGGUGGGGGAUAACUGCGGGAAACUGCAGCUAAUACCGCAUGAGCCCGAGAGGGGAAAGAUUUAUCGCCAUUGGAGGGGCCCGCGUUCGAUUAGGUAGUUGGUGGGGUAACGGCCCACCAAGCCGACGAUCGAUAGCUGGUCUGAGAGGAUGAUCAGCCACACUGGGACUGGGAUACGGCCCAGACUCCUACGGGGGGCAGCAGUGGGGAAUAUUGGACAAUGGGGGCAACCCUGAUCCAGCAAUGCCGCGUGAGUGAUGAAGGCCUUCGGGUUGUAAAGCUCUUUUGCCAGGGACGAUGAUGACGGUACCUGGAGAAUAAGCCCCGGCUAACUUCGUGCCAGCCGCCGCAGUAAGAC
rnacentral:rRNA from 1 species